UCAUUAUGAAGUCGGAGCUCAUCGAGCAGUA
rnacentral:tRNA from 1 species